UUCAGAAGGGAUCGAAGCGAGAAAUUGAAGUUUUUACGUCGGAAUUCAAGCUCGCCGGAUUCUGGAAAUUUUCCGGCCACCGACGCUUUCGAUCAAGAUAUCUCGAGCUGUAGAGCUUCGUUUUGAGUGAUUCUUGAACCAGUGAGUUCGUCUUUAAGUUCUGAACAAGUCUCCUGAAGGAAUCGAAGCGAAAGGAGGACAUUUUUACGUUGAUCGGAGCUUCGCCGACUUCUGCAAAUUCUCGCCGGUUUCUGGAAAAAAUUCCGGCCACCUCGACUGUUUUAGGUAAUUUCAACCACUUCCGGUCAUUUUCAGCUUACAUGGUAGUUAUGAAAGUUGUUAAGCAUGAUGAGAGGAAGAAGAGCAGCCCGGCCCCGACACCAUUGGUGGUGGUCGGCGGCGGCUCUGCCACUAACUCCGGCGGCCCUUUCCGGCCACCUCCGGGGGUCAAAAAUAUGGUUUCUGUACAUUUUCAGAUUCUAUAUUUCAAUACGAUCAUUUUGAUAUAUUAUACGCAAUUUUUGGAUAUCGUAUGAUUAAGUUAUGAAUUUUUAAGUUUAGAUCGAUUUCGAUCGUUAGAUUUGUGAUCUGUGAAGUUAGGACCGUCAGAUGGACUUGUAGUUUUGAUAUGAUGAUCUUAUGACUGUCCCAGUGGCUUUGUGUGGUCAUGGGCGAAGAUCCGACCGUUGGAUCUUCGUAUAAAUGCAAAACAGUGAUUAGGGAGGCGAUUCGUGAGAAUCCGUCCGUCGGAUUUUCGUAUAAAUUUGUGAAGAUGUUAGUAAGGACGAUUCAGGAAGAUCCGACCGUUGGAUCUUCGUGAUGAUUUUUGGAGGGUGAUCCUAAAGGCGAUCCGUGAGGAUCCGACCGUUGGAUCAUCAUUUAAUUUCGAUCCGACCGUUGGAUUGUUGUUUGAGUAUGUUUUUGAGUUGUUGGCUAAGUUAAGGUCAUGUUUGACUAGGUGAUUGACGGUCUUCCUUGGGUGAGCGGUUUCGGUGUGUAUUGUGUUGAAUUGAAGACGCAGCGGGAAUAUCGAGCGGGUAAUCCUGCAGGUCAGGAGAAUCAGGGCGGUGAUCGAGCGGGUUAGAGUAUUUGUUAUAGUUUUACAGCAUUUGUAAUAGUGAGGUGAGUUAAGCUCAUUGAGCCUUACAAUUUGAUUUGGUGAGAGUGUGUUGUAAUAAUUAACUUGAGGAUUUGAUUUAUUGUAAUAUUGAGAGGUGUGAAGUGUGGUUGUUUGUGAGAAAAAAAUUCAGGACGUUUAUUCUA